CCCGCUGAACUUAAGCAUAUCAAUAAGCGGAGGAAAAGAAACUAACAAGGAUUCCCCUAGUAACUGCGAGUGAAGCGGGAAAAGCUCAAAUUUAAAAUCUGGCAGCCAUUUUACGGUUGUCCGAGUUGUAAUCUAGAGAAGUGCUUUCCGCGCUGGACCGUGUACAAGUCUCUUGGAAUAGAGCAUCAUAGAGGGUGAGAAUCCCGUCUUUGACACGGACUACCAGUGCUUUAUGUGAUGCGCUCUCAAAGAGUCGAGUUGUUUGGGAAUGCAGCUCAAAAUGGGUGGUAAAUUCCAUCUAAAGCUAAAUAUUGGCGAGAGACCGAUAGCGAACAAGUACCGUGAGGGAAAGAUGAAAAGAACUUUGGAAAGAGAGUUAAACAGUACGUGAAAUUGUUGAAAGGGAAACGCUUGAAGUCAGUCACGUUGGCCAGAAAUCAACUUGUAACAGGGCGUAAUUUCUGGUUUUACGGGUCAACAUCAAUUUUGAUUGUUGGAUAAAAGUCAAUAUUUAUGCGUUUUCGGACGUGUAGCCUUUGAUUGCAUACAAUGGUUGGGAUUGAGGAACUCAGCACGCCGCAAGGCCGGGUAACUUGUUACCACGUAACGUGCUUAGGAUGUUGGCAUAAUGGCCUUAAUCGACCCGUCUUGAAACACGG
rnacentral:rRNA from 1 species